CCUACAGGCGGCAGCAGUGAGGAAUAUUGGUCAAUGGGCGUAAGCCUGAACCAGCCAAGUCGCGUGAGGGAUGAAGGUUCUAUGGAUCGUAAACCUCUUUUAUAAGGGAAUAAAGUGUGGGACGUGUCCUAUUUUGUAUGUACCUUAUGAAUAAGGAUCGGCUAACUCCGUGCCAGCAGCCGCGGUAAUACGGAGGAUCCGAGCGUUAUCCGGAUUUAUUGGGUUUAAAGGGUGCGUAGGCGGCCUUUUAAGUCAGCGGUGAAAGUCUGUGGCUUAACCAUAGAAUUGCCGUUGAAACUGGGGGGCUUGAGUAUGGGUGAGGCAGGCGGAAUGCGUGGUGUAGCGGUGAAAUGCGUAGAUAUCACGCAGAACCCCGAUUGCGAAGGCAGCCUGCCAAGCCAUGACUGACGCUGAUGCACGAAAGCGUGGGGAUCAAACAGGAUUAGAUACCCGGGUAGUC
rnacentral:rRNA from 1 species